UGCUUCCGGAAGUGCUCGGCGCGGGCGGAGCCGGGUUUAGGACGCUGCGGAGCGGGGCUCCGGCCGGGCUGGUGCGGGCUGCGGGGAUGGAGAUCAUCAGGAGCAAUUUUAAGGAUAACCUAAAUAAAGUGUAUGAAGCCAUCGAGGAAGCAGACUUUUUGGCUAUUGAUGGUGAAUUUUCAGGAAUCAGUGAUGGGCCAUCUGUUAGCACGUUAACCAAUGGCUUUGACACACCAGAAGAAAGGUAUCAAAAACUUAAAAAGCAUUCCAUGGAUUUCUUGCUUUUUCAGUUUGGCCUUUGUACUUUUAAAUCUGACCACACAGAAGCUAAAUAUAUAAUGAAAUCAUUUAACUUCUAUAUUUUUCCAAAACCCUUCAAUAGAAGUUCACCAGAUGUCAAGUUUGUCUGUCAGAGUUCAAGUAUAGACUUUUUAGCAAACCAAGGUUUUGAUUUUAAUAAAGUUUUUCGCAAUGGAAUCCCAUAUUUAAAUCAGGAAGAGGAAAGACAAUUACGGGAGCAGUAUGAUGAAAAACGUUCUCAGGCAAAUGGUGCAGGGACCCUAUCGUACAUUUCCCCUAAUGCCACAAAGUGUCCUGUGACUAUUCCUGAGGAUCAGAAAAAAUUCAUUGAGAGAGUGGUGGAGCAAAUAGAAGAUUUGUUACAGAAUGAAGAAAACAAGAGUUUGCAGUUGGAGCCAUGCACAGGAUUUCAGAGGAAACUAAUUUAUCAGACCUUGAGCUGGAAGUAUCCAAAAGGUAUCCACGUUGAAACUCUGGAGACCGAGAAGAAGGAAAGAUACAUUGUUAUUAGCAAGGUAGAUGAAGAAGAGCGCAAAAGAAGAGAACAGCAGAAACAAGCAAAAGAACAGGAAGAACUCAGUGAUGCAGUGGGAUUUUCCCGAGUCAUUCAUGCCAUUGCUAAUUCUGGCAAACUUGUUGUUGGACACAACAUGCUACUGGAUGUCAUGCACACGAUCCACCAGUUUUACUGUCCCCUACCUGAAGACCUAAGUGAGUUUAAGGAGUUAGCGGCAUGUGUCUUUCCCAGACUAUUGGAUACUAAACUGAUGGCAAGUACGCAACCUUUUAAGGAAAUUAUUAACAACACGUCCCUUGCAGAACUGGAAAAGCGUUUAAAAAAGAUUCCAUUCAACCCUCCUGAAGUUGAAAGUGCAGAAGGGUUUCCAAGUUAUGACACAGCUUCUGAACAACUUCAUGAAGCAGGCUAUGAUGCUUACAUAACAGGACUGUGUUUCAUCUCCAUGGCGAACUACCUAGGUUCAUUUCUCAAUCCUCCGAAAAAUCAUGUAUCUGCUAGAUCAAAACUCAUUGAACCCUUUUUUAACAAGUUAUUUCUUAUGAGGGUAAUGGACAUACCAUAUCUCAAUUUGGAAGGACCAGACUUGCAGCCAAAACGAGACCAUGUUCUUCAUGUUACAUUUCCCAGAGAGUGGAAGACUAGUGAUCUUUACCAGCUUUUCAGUGCCUUUGGAGGAGUAAGCGGAGUCCAUGGGGGAGCCGCGGCAGUCGACUCGCCGCCGGGAGGACGGCCAGGUAACAUUCUGGUAUCUUGGAUUGAUGAUACAUCAGCAUUUGUGUCACUUAGUCAGCCAGAACAAGUACAAAUAGAGUUUCCACUGAGGGAUUUUGUGGUGGAGAAGAAAUUGAGUGCAGUUCACUUGUGCAACUCUGUAUAGCCUGGUGCAGGGCCAGGAACCUUAAACUUUUCCUUUGUCAAAAUGUAGAAUCUCCCUCACCCCCCACACCCCCUCUCCCUGGCCAAAGAGUGGCCAUUUAAUUAGGUGAUAGUUAGUUUGAUCUCACUGACACCUUUCUGAGGUGUUGGUAAGCCUUUUGUCUAUGGAGAACUCAUUUCUGACUGCCCUCUAGAACAUGUUGGAACAUGCUUUGUUAUUAUACAGUGGAAUCUUAUAUCUUUACAUACAGUGUUGCCACACAUAUUUUACCACACAAUAAUCAGCAAAACAUUAGUUUUCAAAUGAUACAUUACACAGUAUGCUUUGUACAAAAUUUAACAUAGUCUUUUAAAAGGGGUGAGCGUAGGGCACAGACUCUUAAAUCAGAAGUUUCCCCACCCCAGUUCACACUCUUCUUAGGGGAGGCAGAGGAGUUGCCCCAGGACCUGGAGCACUCCUGAUUGGUCUUAAUGCGACCUCUUCUUUGGCAUUGACAGUGGAGAACGACUCCUGCGCCUCUUCAAAGCGGUCCCUGCCCCAGAAUGGGUGGUGGCACCACUCUCCAAACCUGAGGGUGAUCUACAGCCUGAAGAACAGCUUGGUACUGGGUCAGGCCUCAUGGCCUGCUCGUGCAGGUGCUGCUUAAGGCGAAAGUCCUACACCACCUGAGGCUUUCUCUUACAAUCUGCAGGUCAAACAGCACUACUUAAGCUGUAAACACCAGCAGGUAUGCUGAAAGUUAUAGGAUCCAGACCUAUGCAGAAUAUGUUGAGAAAAAACAUGAAGAGAA